GGGGGGGUGCUACCUAUGGCCUGCAUCUCCUCUGUCUUACCUAUGGACGGCUCCUCUUCUGUCACUUGUUCUGGAAUCCUGACCCAGACCUGCAGAAGACCAAAAUUAUGCAUUCGUUUACAGAGCUGUGGUUUCCCUUCUGGUUCCAGCCAUGCCACUGGAUCAACUCCCACCAUAGUUUCACAGGUUGAAUUUGCUGUCAUUUCUACCCUGAAAAACCCAGUUGUUCUCAAAACCUGAUGGAUUUGAUACCAAACUGAACCGGUCCCACAAAUACAGAAUCAUCAGCUCUCAUGCUUCUCUGAUGCAGGAGACACGAGUGAAGCUUUAGUUGUUGUUGUUUUUUUCCAGCAAUAGCAUUUAUUACAUGUGCAGAUUGAAAAGGAGUUUUGAUAAAGUAAUGACAUCUGAACGUCCUGGUUUCACUUUAAUAAAAAACAUUUCAA